rnacentral:rRNA from 1 species
CGCAAGAUUAAAACUCAAAUGAAUUGACGGGGGCCCGCACAAGCGGUGGAGCAUGUGGUUUAAUUCGAUGCAACGCGAAGAACCUUACCUACUCUUGACAUCCAGAGAACUUUCCAGAGAUGGAUUGGUGCCUUCGGGAACUCUGAGACAGGUGCUGCAUGGCUGUCGUCAGCUCGUGUUGUGAAAUGUUGGGUUAAGUCCCGCAACGAGCGCAACCCUUAUCCUUGUUUGCCAGCACUUCGGGUGGGAACUCCAGGGAGACUGCCGGUGAUAAACCGGAGGAAGGUGGGGACGACGUCAAGUCAUCAUGGCCCUUACGAGUAGGGCUACACACGUGCUACAAUGGCGCAUACAGAGGGCGGCCAACUUGCGAGAGUGAGCGAAUCCCAAAAAGUGCGUCGUAGUCCGGAUCGGAGUCUGCAACUCGACUCCGUGAAGUCGGAAUCGCUAGUAAUCGUGGAUCAGAAUGCCACGGUGAAUACGUUCCCGGGCCUUGUACACACCGCCCGUCACACCAUGGGAGUGGGCUGCAAAAGAAGUAGGUAGUUUAACCUUCGGGAGGACGCUUAC